rnacentral:rRNA from 1 species
UUCGCAAUGCCCGAAAGGGUGACGAAGCGACGCCGCGUGUGGGAAGAAGGCCUUCGGGUUGUAAACCACUGUCGGGAGUUAAGAAAUGUAAGGAUGUUAAUAGCGUUCUUACUUGACUAAGGCUCCGGAGGAAGCCACGGCUAACUCUGUGCCAGCAGCCGCGGUAAUACAGAGGCGGCAAGCGUUGUUCGGAAUUAUUGGGCGUAAAGAGCACGUAGGCGGCUAUGUAAGUCGGUUGUAAAAGCCUUCCGCUCAACGGAAGAACAGCAUCCGAUACUGCAUGGCUUGAGUGCGGGAGGGGAGAGUGGAACUUCUGGUGGAGCGGUGAAAUGCGUAGAUAUCAGAAGGAACGCCGGCGGCGAAAGCGGCUCUCUGGCCCAUAACUGACGCUGAGUGUGCGAAAGCUAGGGGAGCAAACGGGAUUAGAUACCCCGGUAGUCCUAGCCGUAAACGAUGGGCACUAAGUAGAGGGGUUUU